CCGGAGUCAAAUACUUUGUUGCGGCCUCAAAAGAAAACCCUAACUCUCACAACUAUCCACCCGACCCAACACUCCUACAGCCUUAACACCGUCGCCAUCCACCGUCCAGCGCCUUCGCUUUGGUUUUGAUAGCGGACGCUGCAGAUCUCACAUUGAUCUCAUAUGAUAUCUAUUGAACAGGUCUAAAUCGAACCGUCGCAUUGUAUUCAACCAAAUCUGCAUUGAUUCAUUACCAGAUCUGCUUAAAUUCACAACCUUGCAUGGCGUUUGAUUUCUUUAUACAAGUUGGUGGAACUUUCAUGAUGUGUUCUUGAUGCUUUAGUAUUUCAAACUAACUUUCGCCUCCCCCUCCAGCCUCCCUCCCCAGGAAGUUGAGGCUAUGACCCUUUAGACUUAUAGAGAACGCAAAAACACAAAGAUUUGGUUGAUCAAGGCGAUAAAUGGUUAAAAGAUAUGGUUAUCCAUCAUAUGACCUUUCUUUUUUUGAUGUCGUGCGCUUCGAUUGUCAUCUUCUCAUCUAUCAACACAUCUCGUUUUCUAAUGUGAUUUCAUACAAACUCAUCUAUCAAUACAACCCUAGCGGCAGAUAUGUGGUUAAUGAACUUUAGAACUUCAAAGACGGUCGGAAAACUACAUUAAAGGAAGUUAUUAGCUACAUCUUGAAGAAUAUGAAGAAGCGCAAAAGGCUAAAGUUUGUAUGCUGCCAUUUUAUCAUCAUUUAAAUCGACUUGCAUAGUAAUUUUUUCUAGGAGUUCAUUUUAUUUGUAUGCACUCUGAAUAUCUAGACUUGUACAUAUGUGUGCCCUCACUCACAAUCUCACAUGGAGAUGGCAAUUUUAUUCCAUGUAGUUUGUAAAGGGGUUAUAUGGAGUCGAGGGUCUCUCUGGAAGCAAUCUAUCUAUCUCAUGGAUAGAGGUAAGGUUUGCCUACAUCACACCCUCGCAAACCCUACAAAUAACUUGCUAUUUAUGGGAUUUAAGGGGUACGGUUGUUGUUGAUUUCCUGCAAACUCUACCCGAAAAGCUGAUGUUAACAUUCGCUUUUAGUGUUCGUAUGUCACGCCAAGAAGGGUGUCGUAGAGAUGUCGAUUGUUAUCUUUGUGCUUGCUGGGUUGGUUGUCUACCUAUUGGAAACCCGCGCGAUAUAUUAAAUAUACUAAUAGGAAACCUGCGCGAUACUGUGGUUGUGAAAAUUUGCAACGCAAUACUCUUUUUGUGUUAGUUUAUCAAUCCUCCCGUGAAUAUAUGGAUAUACUUUAUAGUAGUUUGUUAGUUUAUUAGUCCU
rnacentral:lncRNA from 1 species